GACGAACGCUGGCGGCGUGCUUAACACAUGCAAGUCGAGCGGUAAGGCCCUUUCGGGGGUACGACGAGCGGCGAACGGGUGAGUAACACGUGGGUGACCUGCCCUCAGCUCUGGGAUAAGCCUGGGGAACCGGGGUCUAAUACCGGAUAUGACUCCAUGACGCAUGUUGUGGGGUGGAAAGCCUUGUGCGGCUGAGGAUGGGCCCGCGGCCUAUCAGCUUGUUGGUGAGGUAACGGCUCACCAAGGCUUCGACGGGUAGCUGGUCUGAGAGGACGAUCAGCCACACUGGCACUGCGACACGGGCCAGACUCCUACGGGAGGCAGCAGUAAGGAAUAUUGCGCAAUGGGCGAAAGCCUGACGCAGCGACGCCGC
rnacentral:rRNA from 1 species